rnacentral:rRNA from 1 species
UGGGGAAUAUUGGACAAUGGGCGGAAGCCUGAUCCAGCAAUGCCGCGUGUGUGAAGAAGGCCCGAGGGUCGUAAAGCACUUUUGUUAGGGAGGAAGGAGUAUGUAUUAAUACUACAUACAACUGACGUUACCUAAAGAAUAAGCACCGGCUAACUCUGUGCCAGCAGCCGCGGUAAUACAGAGGGUGCAAGCGUUAAUCGGAAUUACUGGGCGUAAAGGGUGCGUAGGUGGAUACGUAAGUCAGAUGUGAAAUCCCCGGGCUUAACCUGGGAACUGCAUUUGAUACUGCGGAUCUAGAGUAUGGUAGAGGUAAGUGGAAUUUCCGGUGUAGCGGUGAAAUGCGUAGAUAUCGGAAGGAACAUCAGUGGCGAAGGCGACUUACUGGACUGAUACUGACACUGAGGCACGAAAGCGUGGGGAGCAAACAGG